GACGAACGCUGGCGGCGUGCCUAAUACAUGCAAGUCGAGCGCAGGAAACUGACGGAACUCUUCGGAGGGAAGGCAGUGGAAUGAGCGGCGGACGGGUGAGUAACACGUAAGGAACCUGCCUCAAGGAUUGGGAUAACUCCGAGAAAUCGGAGCUAAUACCGGAUAGUUCAUCGGACCGCAUGGUCCGUUGAUGAAAGGCGCUCCGGCGUCACCUUGAGAUGGCCUUGCGGUGCAUUAGCUAGUUGGUGGGGUAACGGCCCACCAAGGCGACGAUGCAUAGCCGACCUGAGAGGGUGAUCGGCCACACUGGGACUGAGACACGGCCCAGACUCCUACGGGAGGCAGCAGUAGGGAAUCUUCCACAAUGGACGAAAGUCUGAUGGAGCAACGCCGCGUGAGUGAUGAAGGUUUUCGGAUCGUAAAACUCUGUUGUAAGGGAAGAACACGUACGAGAGGGAAUGCUCGUACCUUGACGGUACCUUACGAGAAAGCCACGGCUAACUACGUGCCAGCCGCCGCAGUAA
rnacentral:rRNA from 1 species